rnacentral:rRNA from 1 species
UACGUAGGGCGCAAGCGUUUAUCCGGAAUUAUUGGGCGUAAAGAGCUCGUAGGCGGUUUGUCGCGUCUGCCGUGAAAGUCCGGGGCUCAACUCCGGAUCUGCGGUGGGUACGGGCAGACUAGAGUGAUGUAGGGGGAGACUGGAAUUCCUGGUGUAGCGGUGGAAUGCGCAGAUAUCAGGAGGAACACCGAUGGCGAAGGCAGGUCUCUGGGCCACUACUGACGUGAGAAGCGAAAGCAUGGGGAGCGAACGGG